AAUGCUUCUUUCAGGUAGACAUGAUUUUCUGAGAAAUCCCCGAAGCCAACUCCGAACCUCGAACUGUUUUCUUCCCCGCCUAAGCAUCCCUGGUUCACGCCUUUUUGGCGGUUGUUGGUAGUUUAGUAUCCGAUUGCAUCCGAUUUAUGAUCGAACCCGGUCCGACCAGCGGGUUUUAAAAAAUUGAGUGGUUUAAUUUGCCAAUUAUCUAGAAGAACCUCGCUAAACCCCUCCCUCCAACUUUCUCCGGACCGGAACAGUGUGUGAUUCGUAUAUUCUUCUUCAGUGGCGUGGCGACUUCCCUUCUUCUGAAUGGUGUGUUUCACGCUCACUUUCUCUCCGUCGGUGGGUCGGAGGAGCUCUGGGUUUCAAUUCCCUUUAUCCACAAAUUCACGGCGGAAGAAGAUUCUCAUAUGUUUAUGCAAGAGUUUGAGUUAGGCUUUCUAGUAGAAUAGCUAUGGUUUCAGAUCCGAUUUGGGUUUAAAGUUUCCAUCUUUAAUUACUGUUUCUGCUCUUACUUAGUGGGGGAACAAAGAUUCUAUCUUUGAAGUUGUAAGAUGAGAACUUUCUUUCCACUGAUUAGGAAUCAUCUGGUUGAAGAGCUAGUUAGGUGUGUGUGUGUGUGUGUGCUCACUAAGAUUUGGUUUCUCGCUUGUGUGUGUGUGUACUGUGUAGAGUAGAGAGAUCAUUGGCUACUCUUGCCGAUGGAGGAGCUUCUCAUUUUGACGAGAUGGUAUCUGCGGGUCAGUGGAAGUAUUACCUUCUGGGCGGUAAAGGAGGUGUCGGGGAAAACAAGCUGUGCUGCUUCUCUCGCGGUUAACUUUGCUAGCCACGGGUCAUCCCACCAUCGUCCUUUCAACUGAUCCUUGAGUGAUUCUUUCUCUCAGGACUUGUCCUGAAGCCGGUUCAAGGUGUUGAUUCUACACUUCUAGCUCUCGAGAUAACACCUGAGAGAAUGAAGGAAGAAAUUAAAAGUCGUUAAAAAUAUGAUGGAUAGCAUGGGGGGGGGGGGUAGGAAUGUUAAUGUUUUGCUGGUGAGUCCAAUGAGUUGGACCAACUGAAAGAGAGAAUGGAUAAAGUUGGAAAUGUUUUCCGUGAUGUGGACACUACUGAGUUUGUCAUUGUUACCAUCCCAACGGUCAUGGCAAUAAACGAGUCUUUGGGAUUACAUGCAUCUUUAAGAAAAGAAAAUGUGGCCAGUUCACAGGCUUGUUGUUAAUCAUCUUCUCCCUCGUUCUGAAUCCGACUGCAAAUUUUGCUCAGUGAGACGAAAGGUAAUGCUUUUAUGGAUAGCCGCUUUCUGAUUCAUUGGAUCUUGGAUGAUCCCCUUCAUGCGGUUAAUGGCUAGAGACCCUGUCGCAAUGGUCCUGUAUGCGGUUGUGGUAUCGGUUUGUGCACCGGUUUGGGAAGAGAUAGUGUUCAGAGGGUUCUUGUUACCGUCUCUGACUAGGUACAUGCGGGUUUGGUGUACGAUUCUUGUGAGUUCAGUUGCGUUUGCUUUGGUGCAUUUUAAUGAUGUUGCCGUUGGUGUUCCUUGGAGUGGUUUUGGGUUUGUUCCCUUCGAGGUUGUUGCAUUUGCAUAGCUUGUGGAAUGGCUUUGUGUUCAUGGAAUUAAUGCGAUGGUGAUAUCUUAUGUAGGUGUCUGUUUUUUACCUUAUUAUUCUUGUAGUUGAUUCAUGUUAUGAUUUGUAGUAUUCUUUUAAUUAA